GUGUGUGGUCUUCGCUGCUUUUUCUUAGUUAACCGUGCAAUGUAUAAUUUUGGGUCCGAUUUUCCUCAUUAACUGGACCAACUCUCUUCUUUUUAAUAAUGGUAUGAAAAACCAUAGCUCUAAGUCUGUUUGGGAAAAAAUUCAGGUCGAUUUGAUGCUUAUGCCAAAAUGGUCAGGAUAUAUGCCAUACAUAUGGUUCAAUUUUAGGAAGCAC
rnacentral:lncRNA from 1 species